CCCUUCAGAGGGGACAACAGUUGGAAACGACUGCUAAUACCGCAUACGAUCUAACCUCGGCAUCGAGGAAAGAUGAAAGGUGGCCUCUAUGUAUAAGCUAUCACUGAAGGAGGGGAUUGCGUCUGAUUAGCUAGUUGGAGGGGUAACGGCCCACCAAGGCGAUGAUCAGUAGCCGGUCUGAGAGGAUGAACGGCCACAUUGGGACUGAGACACGGCCCAG
rnacentral:rRNA from 1 species